GGCUGCUCUGAAGGUAGUGAGUUAUUUCAAUUGAUUGUUCACCAUCAGUUACAGUUGAACUCCUUGUUCUACUCUUUCCCCUCACCCUUCUCACUACUGACUGCACUUGACUAGUCUUUU
ensembl:misc_RNA Y_RNA Y RNA